rnacentral:lncRNA from 1 species
CACCGGAUUAUCGCGGACAGGGGGAGGGGACGCGGCGCAGGAGAAUUGCCCCAUAGAAUAGGCAGGAAUCCUGGCUGCUCGGGAAGGCAAAGUUUAUUGAAGAACUUGAAAAUUCCUCUUUGAAGCAUCUUCUGAAAUACCGGAGAAGACAUGAAAAGGGUAAUGACUCAGAAUAUGGGCUUAGUGCACAAAUCCCCGCGCUGACGGACUCCAGGCCUGCAGACGCUUAAGCACAUGCUUAAAUUUAAGCUCAGGCAUAAGUGUUUGUAGGAUUGGAGCCCAGAUUUUUAUUGCGACGAGGCUCCUCUCUGCAGUGAUGGGAAAUACAAGACUUAGGAAGCGCACGAGCUUCCAGCACGACGCAGUGCACAGAGCGCCCACUUCAAGCCAGGGGACACCCAAAUCUGUCUCUGCAUGGGGACACCAACACGUGGGUGGUGAAGAGCAGUGCAGGCAGGAAAGGCGCAGGGACAGCAUAGAGCAACUCAGUGCCACACAGCUCCUCUCCAGGUGCUCUUUGCAUAAACGUACACCUGCUUUUCCUGCACAAUAAGGCUUCCCUCCUGUGAGAUCCUCCCUGCUCCUUCUCUGUCCCUGAACAUGUUCUGCAAGGCAAAAUCGCUUUUUUUCCUCCUCCUUUUUCCCAUUUACAUAAGACAGCUGCCCAAUGGGCAGUAGCACCUGUCCCCAUGCUCAGAUCUAGAUCACUGUUUUUCAGUUAUCUUUAGGGCUGGAUGGAUUUGUGUGCGUGGGAUACGGGUGCUUGGUGGGGCUGACCCUCACCAUAAGAGGGUGCAAGACCCAUGGUGCUGCUGCCCCCACGGACUCCCAUUGCAUCUCCCAGAUCCAGAGAUGUAAAGGCAAGGGUGCCCAUAGCAGCCACGUUCACUGUUGGGUUUGGUACCGCUGUUGGCUGCCACUGGAGGGCAUUAUAUGAUACGGGCACAGUAUUAUGUGCCCACUUUGUACCUCCCCCAAAGGCAGGCAGGUGCAUGGGGUGUGGGAAGAACACAUUUCCUUCUCCACCUUUCCAUCCAAAUGCCCGUGCUAGGGGGUGUUUGUGACAGCAACCAUGGGGAGGGGACAGCCCAGUGGUGGCUCUGGAGCACUUGCUGCGAUACCUCAGCGCAUCGCCAGCCCCUCACAACGUGCCUGUGCAGCAGCCCAGAGCGAGCUGGAGGAUUUUCUCCAAAGCCAGAGGUUAAUUAUCCUUUAUUGGAUAAUUUUCAGCUGCCAGUCCUGGCGAUGAAGGGGAUUUCCUCUAGAUGGCACGCUUAUCUCUGCACAGCGAGCGGUGCUGGCAGCCCGCAGCCUGCAAUGCAGUGGGGUCCUGAGCCUGCGGUUGGUCCUGGGGACAAAGAGCAUUAAGCCCUCAUCCCACUCCCAUCCCCAGCUGCAGCCCAGCCGCUGCCCUGCUGGACCCAAGCGAUGUAUUUUCAGUGGGUUAUUUUACCCCGAUGUUUUUUGCCCUCUUAUAAUGCAAUUGGAAGUUGGCAUCUAGGCUGUGGGUUAGGGGGAUGCGGUUGGCUGGGCGAUGCUGAGCAGAAAUCAGGUCUUUCCGAGCAAUGUAAAGCCAGAUGUGAAGCAUCAGCCUUCCUUCAGCAGCCCUCAGUGCAGCUUCUGCAUGCUGACAGCUUUCCCUCUCUCAUCCUCUGUUCAGCUUAGGACAGUAAUUUCUUUUGGUGGUGUAAAGGAGAGCAUAGGGGGUAUUCACAAUGAUCAGGAGCUGCCAGGGAUGAAUUUCUUGUGUGUUCCUUUUACCUAUUGUGCACCUAUUUUAUAGAAACGGAGGACUGCCCCCUGCAGUGCCAGACUGUGGGGUGACACUGUGACGUGGUGGGGACACAGUGGGGCAUUGGCACCCACAGCUGCAUGCUGGAGCAGUGCAGCUGAGAUUGCCCACCGUGCAGCUUCAGCCCUGGGCUGUUCCCGUGCUUCAUGCCUCGGUAUUUUCACUUGUCUGCAUCUGAUGAAAUAUCCACCGUCUGCACCACCUCUUCUCUGCCUGGCUGUCCUUUGCUGGAUAAGGGGAUGGGGUUAAGAUACUGGGAUCUGCUGCUCUGCAUGGCCUUUGGUGAGAUGCUUCACCUCCCUGUGCAGACUUCAGCCUCUUUCCCUGUUUAUUCAGCUCCUUCCCAGCAUGGAAAUAGAGGAAAUCGAACCUGUGCGGUAGCAGCGUUACAGUUGCCAGCCGACAUCAUCUUAUCUGAAGCCAAGAGGCAAAACGUAUCUACAAACUCAUUUGCGGGCAGAUCUGUAGAUAUCAGUGCGGAUGUGCAGGAUUGAUCUUGGGCAAGAUUCAUCCCAACCUCAUCUCUAUAUGAGGGCUGCUGGGUACUCCCACGUACAAAGAACACCCAGAAAGAAGGAAUAAUAAUAAUAAUAAUAAUAAUAAUUUUCCUGGGCACGUUUGGGAUGACAAAAUGCUAACAUGGAAACCUGGACUACAGGACCCCAUCACAGGUUGCUACAGCCACGUGAAUCUGGCCAGAUAGUCUUGCACUGGUGUGCCCACUUUUGGGAAACGUGAUUCCCUCCCAUAUGGAUCCCCACCCCCCAAAAAAUCCUCCCUACUAUUUCCAGGGGAUUGAGAGAAGAAUGAAAUGAUUUAGCAGGCUUGUUUUCACAGGGAUAUUUUUCCUUGUGCGGUAGGCACCGUCACCAGGCUGUUCUGUGCGUGCUGCCAUGUGCCAGAGCAUAAUUGCCUUCCACAUGCAUCAGCCUUUGGCUAAUGUGUUUUUUAUGGCAACCAGGAGAGCUGGAUUUGGUGAGUCUCAAAAGCGCACCUGGUGCUUUAUGGCUCGAAAUCACUGCGCUCCUCUGAGUCAUGUAAGUGUGUGUAUCCAUCCCUUUUCAUGUUGGAUUGCUGAAGAACAGUAUGCAAAGAAAAGCUCACACCGAGCCAGAGUUGAUCGGUUGGGUGUUAUGAGCUUGCCUGGUGGGCUUCAGGUCCGUGUGGGAUGGGAUCAGUAAUGAAAAGAGAGCAGCAGACAAAGCUGUUGAGCUCUAAGCCCAAAGCCGAGGUCCUAAGCUCAGAUCCCAGCACAUAGUAAAGGUGUGUGAACAUCUGAGCUCUGCAGGGAUGGACCGAAGCAUUUGGCAUCAGUGCUCCCCCAAGUGGGAAUUGGGGGCGUUUGGCAUCACCUGGCACCGCCAUUCCCACCCAUCUCCUGGGUGCUGGGAGCUGCUGGGGAGUGGCUGCCACCGUGCCUCGGCAAUAUGGGGCUGGGAAUAACGGCUGUGCUGCAGGGAGCAGCGAAGGUCUGAGCCUUGGCUACGGAAAGGAGAGAAAUAAUAUCAAAGGAAAUCACAUAAGUGGAAAAAGAGCUCCCUGGGGAAGCCCGGGCAGGAGCAGGUCUGUCCUGUUCGUGUUUUGAGAGAAGCUAGAGGUCAGCCAAGCCUGAUAACGAGGUAAUACAGAAAAAAAUCCAUCGCUGAGCCUUGGGGGACGUGGAGAUGCGCUUCACGUCAAAAUAAACGAAUUUGGAUGCUGCCCGGCCGAGGGAACAACAACGAUUAAGUCGUGCAGAACCAACAGCCCGUCCGGGAGGACCCGAAGCCCCGCAGCGCCCACGGCAGCAGGACGGGGAUGCGGGGCCCGAUGCUGCCCUUCCCAUGCGGAGUUUAGGAUCGGGGCUUCGCUUCGUUAAAUCCCAUUAUCGGGGGCCGGUCCGGCCGGGACGGGGACUUCUCGCGGCCGCACUGGUGUAUUUGUCUCCCUGCACCCGGCAAAUAGAGGGGGGGGAAGGCAAGGAACGAGCUUUGCCUCGGAGACGCUGCGGGGAGCCACCUGCCCACGAGGGCUGCGUUAGGGCAGGCAGUGAAAGUCCACGAAGAGGAGAAAAUAAACGCUGUUCGGCGCGUUUCGGCUGUUCCUAUUCCCCUAUUGAGACUUACGGACCGGCCAGCUUUCGGCCCCAGGCGCUUCCGAUAGCACAGUUUAACGUGAGAUGUGAGGGAAUUGGGAUUAAAACAGGAGACGGGAAGGGCCGUCCGUCACGAAAUAUUUGGGAGGGGAGCGCAGAAAACGUUAAUAAUCUACCGAAGGAAAAGAAGCCGUAAGGCAUAAGGCAUCCCUCCCACCGCUGCACGCGUGGGGACCGUGCGGUGCUGACGACCUUUUGGGGUCGAUCCAUAGGGUCGCUGUUUAGGGAGACUGCAGCCGGCUCAAGGAGCGCCCAUAGGGCCGAUGUGCGGCCGCGUGUGUGUGCCCGGGAUCCCAGCGGCUGCUUCAUACGAGCCCAGGCUUUCCCUUUCCUAAUUUCGGGACGGCUGCGUUUUAGGUAGUUUUUCUCGUUUUCGUUUGGUUUCCGCGGCCGAUGCUGCGUGACAAAAGCGAAGCGAAUAGCGGCUCUGCCGACAGAAGCCGCGCACAGAUGGAGG